AGAGUUUGAUCAUGGCUCAGAUUGAACGCUGGCGGAAUGCUUUACACAUGCAAGUCGAACGGCAGCACGGACUUCGGUCUGGUGGCGAGUGGCGAACGGGUGAGUAAUACAUCGGAACGUGCCCAGUCGUGGGGGAUAACGUAGCGAAAGCUACGCUAAUACCGCAUACGAUCUACGGAUGAAAGCGGGGGAUCGCAAGACCUCGCGCGAUUGGAGCGGCCGAUGGCAGAUUAGGUAGUUGGUGGGGUAAAGGCUCACCAAGCCGACGAUCUAUAGCUGGUCUGAGAGGAUGAUCAGCCACACUGGGACUGAGACACGGCCCAGACUCCUACGGGAGGCAGCAGUGGGGAAUUUUGGACAAUGGGCGCAAGCCUGAUCCAGCCAUUCCGCGUGCAGGACGAAGGCCUUCGGGUUGUAAACUGCUUUUGUACAGAACGAAAAGCUCUGGGUUAAUACCUCGGGGUCAUGACGGUACUGUAAGAAUAAGCACCGGCUAACUACGUGCCAGCAGCCGCGGUAAU
rnacentral:rRNA from 1 species